CUGCUUCGCCCUAACCGCGUUGUCCCCGCGCCCACACUGCUGAGAGGGGGGGAAAGGCGCGCUCUGCAACCGUAAAGCCCCUGCGUCGUGUGCAACCCUGGCCACCGACUACCCCUGAAGUAGGGAGGAGACAGAUGGCAGAAGAGGAGAGUCGCCGAGUCCGUCAUAUCUCGGAAAGGAAGGACACGCAGCCCCGCGCCAGGGACCUCAUCUCUGCGACCCGACGGGAGGCCGUGGCCCGCUCUCACGACCCUGCCCUCCGCCAGCCCCUCGUCAGGCUGCACCUCCACCUGGUGCGGCGACCUAGACCGCCAUCCCCGAGGACUCCGAGCUCCCGCUGACCCCGCCGGCCUCGAGCCACCGCCGUCUUCACCGACCGGCUCCCCCGGGCAUGGGAGUCCUGGGAGGGGCUGCAGUCACAUCCGUCUUCCUUCCUGCCCCCGCCGUGUACGGCCGAACUACGUCCCCUCGUCCCCUCGGUAGUCGGAAAGUCAGACCCCAGCUCUUCUCGAACCCGCCGGGUGACUUGGACACGUUGCUUAAUGUCCCCGUGACUCAGCGUCUUUGCUGGAGAAAUGGGAGUAACCCUUGCCAGAUGUGUCAUAGGAAACUUCGAGAGCUCACCGGUGCAGGCUGGAGGUGACAUGGCUUUGCUCCAAAACCCGGGACCCCCUCCCAUCUCUCUCUUCCAUUAGUGCUUGCCAGGACCAGGAGGCAGAGGAGCAGGACAGAAUGGGGUUCCCGCUUCCGCUCUGGGACCCCCCCACAGCAGUCCCGAACUUCUUGCCUCUGGACUCCUUUUAAUGGAAAAAACUCUUGAUUACGUCACUGUUCUUCCCUGUUGCCGUUACUUGAAGUAAAAGGCAAUUACCUAAUUGA